UACGAAGGGGGCUAGCGUUGUUCGGAUUUACUGGGCGUAAAGCGCGUGUAGGCGGGUCGUUAAGUUGGGGGUGAAAUCCCGAGGCUCAACCUCGGAACUGCCUUCAAAACUGGCGACCUGGACCCAAGUAGAGGCAAGUGGAAUUGCGAGUGUAGAGGUGAAAUUCGUAGAUAUUCGCAAGAACACCAGUGGCGAAGGCGGCUCACUGGCCCGGUACUGACGCUGAGGUGCGAAAGCGUGGGGAGCAAACAGG
rnacentral:rRNA from 1 species